rnacentral:lncRNA from 1 species
GCUCAGGUGGCCGCCACAGCCUCUUGCCCUCUGACCUGCAGGUAUCGGGAGAUCCAUAGCUAAGAAGCCUGGACACCCGGGAAGCUGGGAAAUGGCACAGACACCUUAUCGGAAUGUCUUUGGUUUGAGGUUCUGCUUUGGAAAUUGUACAAGGUCAUGUGUCCUCAGCCACCCUCCAGUCUUUUUCUGUGCCUGGGUUUCAUAAUUGUCCUGGGGUGACCCACCUCAAGGCAUGUUUAGUGAACAUUAGCACGUUGUUCCUUUCCUCCCAGAGGACAGCCUCAGUGAUGGAGGUGGAGCCUCUUAAGGGAGCAGAUGGAUGCCCUGGGGCUGAGAGGAAGCUGGUCCUACCCUUCAUUUACGAAGCUAACCCCUUAGGACAUGAAGAUUGUCUUCACCCAACUCCAGCGUCUGUUCCUUGGAGACCCAUUGCUGGUCAGCCAGUUGGAUGCUGAUAUUGAGAAGAAAAAACAGAAAUGAUUUCUGACAUCUGGAUUCUCUCAGACUUGUGAAGGGGGAAAAAGCUGUUCCAAAGGACAAGGAAAACCCACUGCAGUGAGGGGGCGCAAGAAUCUGCAAAGUCAAGCCACUUGGGGCACCCAGUGGGGCACAGUGUGGUGGCUCCUGGGCAAGGCGGGAAGGUGGUCAGUGAGCAGUAUGGAAACAGAGGAAUGUCCCAAGUGAUAGGACGGCCUGACUUGGCACUUGAGUCAGAUUUGUCUGUGUUCCAAUCAGCAUUGCCACUUCCUGGGUUUUACACCUUGAAAAAUUUUUUUCACUUAAUUCAACCUUAGUUUUUUAUUAACUGUCAAUUGCGUUUUAACAGUAGAGUUUCAAAGGUAAGAAAAUGUUUAAGAGGUGGAUUUCAGAAAAGACAUUACAUAUAUAGUCAAAUAUUCACUUGUUAAAAAUUCUGAUUUACCUUUUUCUUCACUAGAGUAUAGUAAGUUUGUCAGGCCUGUUCUUUUUUAGGGGGUGAUUUUAAACAGAAUCCCAGGGCUUAGCUGUGGGAAUGCUACCAGGGAAAGUAAUAGGGAAAAAUCCUCUUCCAGUAUGGCUAUAGGAAAUGAAUACAUUUCCACAAAAAAAGUAGUAGAUUAAUUGGUGAAUUACAUUGAUUCAUCAAAAUAUUAGUUCCUCUCUUUUGCAGGGUGGAGGACUUGUGGAGUUGAUAUCUCUGUUAUCUAGAUGUCUGAGUUUAAUACUGAAUUUUACAAGAUGGGACUUGGCAUCUCCUAGAUAUGUUCAUAUGUGAUUGUUUACUGAAUGAUUUGAAUUACGGAAAUAUUGUGACGUGUUUAUUGUCUGAAACUGAUAGAGAGUUUUGCUUUUUCUAUUGAGGUAUACAAUGUAAGUGCCUUAUAAUUUUAUUCUCUUAAAUAAACACUGUGUUUGAGUGAUUUUGCUGGAUUCUUCAAACACUGAGCAUUUUCUCAUUUACAACUAAGUGAAUAACCCUGACUGGGAAAUAGAAGUCGGAGCCCAGUGACUCUAAGCUAAGGCCAAUCUUGAGCCUGCAAAACAAGGUCAUUGAGGACCUGGUUAGUUCUUACUGGGGAGCCUCCUCUGCAGGUGUCCCAGCCUGCACACCCCAACAUGAACGGAGCACUUUAUACUGAGAGGAGCUAUAGAGCCCUAGAGAGCUGGGAUCCACAGGCAGAUGCUGUUGGGGUCGGAGUCUGGAGGCUCUUUCUGAGGAUGGAAUUGUUAUUGUUCUGGGGCUGUUUCUAGACUUUGUCAAAUAAAACAAAUUCACAUUUAGAUAAGAAGUUACUUACUUCAAAGGAGUAUUACAACAGAGGGAAAGCACCAACUAUAUCUUCCAGGAUCUCAAAGUUUAGGCAGACGAGGGCUUUCUUUCGUUUGGAGGAACAAACCAGAGUAGAAAGGUGAGAGUGAGAGGACAAGAUGCAGGGUGGCAAAUCAGAUCCUAGAUUAGAGAAAGUUUGACUCCCAAAUCAGCCUGUUCUUAGGAGGGG